GGAUGUGAGGGUGAUCUGGCUAUAACAUCUGCCACCCUAUUUAUCACCAGGGUUGAUCUGGCUGAUCUGGCUGAAUAGGUGGGUGUCUCCUUCCUCCUUCACUGCUUGGUCGAAGAGGAUGGCCUUCCCAAAUAAAGACGGGCCAGUCUUUGGUCAAGGGUAUAAGAGUAGCUGCGCUCCCCUGCUAGAACCUCCAAACAAGCUCUCAAAAUAUCUAACAUGAAAUGGUUUCAAACCUAAUUAGGAGAAAACAUAAGGCAUUAACUCAAUAUUCAAUAAAUGUACUUGGUAGAUUCUAACAAA
rnacentral:snRNA from 1 species